UGGUACGUACUGGUAUCAUUGGUUUCUCCUUUCUGACGAACCAUGAUGUCAUUAAUUUGGUGUUAUGGGAAGUUAGGACUGUUACUUUGAAAAAAUUAGAGUGUUUAAAGCAGGCUUUGGCUUGAAUACAUUAGCAUGGAAUAAUGAAAUAGGACGUUCGAACCUAUUUUGUUGGUUUCUAGGAUCAACGUAAUGAUUAAUAGGGAUAGUUGGGGGCAUUAGUAUUCAAUUGUCAGAGGUGAAAUUCUUGGAUUUAUUGAAGACUAACUACUGCGAAAGCAUUUGCCAAGGAUGUUUUCAUUAAUCAAGAACGAAAGUUAGGGGAUCGAAGACGAUCAGAUACCGUCGUAGUCUUAACCAUAAACUAUGCCGACUAGGGAUCGGAUGAUGUUAAUUUUUUAAUGACUCAUUCGGCGCCUUACG
rnacentral:rRNA from 1 species